CUGGGGCUGAUUUGGGGUUCCCACCCCCAGGUGAAUUUUGGGAUUCUGGGGCUGAUUUUGGGAUCCCGGUGCUGAUUCCUGGAUCCCACCCCCAGGUAAUUUUGGGAUCCCGGGGUUGAUUUUGGAUCCCACCCCCAGGUGAAUUUUGGGAUCCCGAGGCUGAUUCCUGGAUCCCACCCCCAAUGAAUUUUGGGAUCUCGGUGCUGAUUUUGGGAUCCCGGGGUUGAUUUUGGAUCCCACCCCCAGGGAAAUUUCGGGAUUCUGGGGUUGAUUUAGGGAUUCCGGGGCUGAUUUUGGGAUCCCGGGGCUGAUUCCUGGAUCCCACCCCCAGUGAAUUUUGGGAUCCCGGGGCUGAUUCCUGGAUCCCACCCCCAGGUGGAUUUUGGG